rnacentral:misc_RNA from 1 species
CCUCUUCAUUUUUCUCCACCGCCUGCAAAGCUCUAAGCGAUGUUCUCCUCUCCAUUCUGGCCAAAAUCUAUUACAUCCACAAAAUUUAGAGCUUUGUCGAUCUCGGAAGGCCAAAGGAUAGAAAAACAAAAGGAAAUACGUUGCAAGCAAAUGAAUGAGAGGCGAUGAGUCAAAUGCCAAGGAGCUUUUUAUUGGUUUCCAAUUUUCCCUCGUCCUUCUUCUGUAAAACUUCUUCUUCACCGUCGUGUCUUCCUUUUAUGGCCAAGUUGCAGUGCCGAGCACUUCAGAAUCAUUCAGCCUUUCAUUUUCUUUCUUCACCAUUUGGUACGUGUCACGAAUACGGACAAUGCUCUCAGCUUCGAUUGAGAAAUCCCAGAGUGUCAUCCGUGAUCUCUAUCAACUACUCAAAGGUUCCACUGUGCCUCGUCGAUGGGUCUGUGAGUGUAUCAGCUGUUCACUCAUGUUUAAGAGCUGGAUGUCUUAGUUCGUCUUUGAACAAGGUUAUCGCUCUGAGUUCACGUAAUUAUGGAGCUUUUGCCAGGCGACAUUUUUCUCAAGUCUCUAGGGUAAAAAAUCAGAAUCAAGAUGGUCAGUUUGGCAAAUUUUUUAAGCAGGCAAAGCUUUUGACUUCUCAUGUCAAAAAGAAAGCUAUUAAUUCUGGAAUUUCAGCUUCCAAUGAUGUCAAUGCCAUGGCAUCGGCUGAAGAGAUGGUUGGAGAUGUGAAGCUGGGAUCCUCUUUUUCCACUUCUACUUUAAGCAAUAAUAACCCCAAAUCCAAAGUUAGGGGAAGACAGAAGAAGCAAUCAAGAGCUAAUACAGAAAAGGAACAACCUUCUGGCAUCAUGGCCUCAGAUGAAGCUGCUGUCAUGGAUUCUUCUCAACUAAAGAGUUCCAGCACCAUAAAAAGUAGCCAGAGUCCCAACGAGGGUUUAGAGAAGAAAUCAAAUAUGAAGACACCCAAGGAUUUGCUUGAUGGUUCUGCAUCAUCAAAAAAACCAGUCCAACAAGAAAAACAGAAACUCUAGUGGAAAGGGUAAGUCUGUGAAAGCAGUUAAUGAAUCAGGAGUGAAACUGAAACCUCAAGCAAUGGACAAACUGAAACCUUUGAUUCAAGAGGCGCUAAAGCCACUAUAUCCUCCUACUGGGAAAUCUGUUGUGGUGGUUGAGUCCAUUACAAAGGCGAAGGUCAUUCAACGGUACCUUGGUGAUAUGUUUGAAGUUUUACCUAGUUAUGGUCAUGUAAGGGACUUGGCUGCAAGGUCUGGUUCUGUGCGACCUGAUGAAGACUUUAGUAUGGUAUGGGAGGUUCCUGCUGCUGCUUGGACUCAUCUUAAGAGCAUCAAGGUUGCUCUAAGCGAAGCAAAAAAUCUUAUACUUGCAUCAGAUCCUGAUCGUGAAGGAGAGGCAAUUGCUUGGCAUAUUAUUGAGAUGUUGCAACAACAGGAUGCUUUACGUCAAGGGAUUACUCUGGCCAGAGUUGUCUUUCAUGAAAUAACUGAGGAAUCCAUAAAACAUGCCUUGCAAGCUCCUAGAGAAAUUGAUUUGAACUUGGUUCAUGCUUACCUUGCACGGCGUGCUCUUGAUUAUUUAAUUGGCUUCAACAUUUCACCAUUGUUAUGGAGGAAAUUACCAGGUUGCCAGUCAGCUGGACGUGUCCAAUCUGCUGCAUUGUCUCUUAUAUGUGACAGGGAAAUGGAAAUUGAUGAAUUUAAGCCACAAGAGUACUGGACUAUUGAAGUUGAAUUAUACAAAAACAAUCCCGGUUCUUUGGUGAAUACUCACCUGACCCAUUUUGACUCCAAUAAGUUGAAUCAGCUUUCAAUUAGCUCACAUACAGGGGCAAAGGAUAUUGAACUGAAGAUAAAGGAUGCACUUUUUCAAGUUGCUGGUGUUAAAGAAAGCAAAAUGAGGAGAAAUCCUCCCACACCUUAUAUAACGUCAACACUUCAGCAAGAUGCAGCAAACAAAUUACAUUUUCCUUCAAUGUAUACAAUGAAGCUUGCGCAAAAACUUUAUGAAGGGAUUCAGUUAUCAGAUGGGAAGGCAACGGGUUUGAUAACAUACAUCAGAACAGAUGGACUGCAUAUUUCGGAUGAAGCAGUCAAGGGAAUACGUUCCUUAGUGAUUGAAAGGUACGGCCAAGAUUUUGCAUCUGGGGGCCCACUCAGAUAUUUUAAGAAGGUGAAGAAUGCUCAAGAGGCCCAUGAAGCAAUUAGACCAACCAAUAUUUGGAUGUUACCAUCAAUGCUUGUUGAUGUACUUGAUGAAGAUUCCUUGAAGUUGUACACUCUUAUUUGGUCUCGAACAGUGGCAUGCCAAAUGGAACCUGUUACUAUCAACCAGAUCCAAAUUGACUUUGGGAAUGCUGAUAUGUCAAUCGCUCUGAGAUCUUCAUGCUCAGAAAUUGGGUUUCUUGGAUACCAGGCAGUUUAUGAGGAUAUUGAGGCUAGAGCAGUAAGAUACAAGGAAAAUGAGGUGCCUGAUCGUCAGGAAGCCUUUGCAAGUCUCAAGUCACUUAAGCCAGGGGAUCAUUUGAAUCUUGGUGAAGUAAAAAUCAAGCAGCACUUUACCCAGCCUCCACCUCGCUACUCUGAAGGAUCAUUGGUAAAGAAGCUGGAGGAACUUGGCAUUGGAAGACCUUCAACAUAUGCAAGCACUUUGAAAGUGUUGCAGGAUAGGAAAUAUGUGACAGUGAAAAGCCGUGUGCUGUAUCCAGAAUUUCGUGGUCGUAUGGUGUCAGCAUUUCUCUCUCACCACUUUACUGAGGUCACAGACUACAGCUUUACUGCUGAUAUGGAAACUGAGCUUGAUAAUGUUUCUGCUGGCUUAACCGAAUGGAAAGGCCUUCUCAGAGACUAUUGGACACGAUUUAGCUCAUACUGCAAUCGUGCUGAAAGCAUCCAUAUUCAUCAGGUGGAGAAGAUGCUAGAGAAAACAUUUGGUGAUUUUUUGUUUGGUUUGCUACCUAAUAACAGCAAGGCAUGCCCUAGUUGUCUGGAGGGCACUUUGAUCUUCAAAGUAAGUAGGUAUGGUGCUGGCUAUUUCGUAGGUUGUGAUCAACACCCAAAGUGCAAGUAUAUUGCUAAGACUUUAUAUG